UGUGUAGGCGGUCUUGCAAGUCAGGGGUGAAAUCUCUCGGCUCAACCGAGAAACUGCCUUUGAGACUGCAGGACUUGAGGGCGUGAGAGGAGACUGGAAUUCCUAGUGUAGCGGUGAAAUGCAUAGAUAUUAGGAGGAACACCAGUGGCGAAGGCGAGUCUCUGGCACGCAUCUGAGCUAGAACACAACGCGAGGGAGGACGGAAC
rnacentral:rRNA from 1 species